rnacentral:lncRNA from 1 species
GUCUCCAUACCUUUUCUUUGACCUACAGACGCAAAACGUAUUGGGAGAUGGACUGAGUUGCCAUCUUAUGGUGAUUAUAUUAGUGUAAUAAAAGCAUCCAUGGAUCAAUAGGAUGAAUGAAGGAAGAGGCGAGGGCUUAGAAUAUCAAAUAUCAAGCAAAACCAAGUAAGCAAGCAUAAGUUACACAUAAGAAAGCCAGCCACGUCCCAAGAUGAUGAAUAACUUCUUUUACUACUAGCAGAUGCAAAACAAAAUUGAUCUUCGUUAUGUAAGCUACUCUCAUAAAAUAAUUUUUUCUUUUUUUUUCCUUGAUGGAACAAAGGUAUUUUUUCUUUGCUAUGUAUGAUAAUGAGUUAACGUUGAGUCAUAAUUAUCAAUAUUUAUUGUUUUGAUCACACUAUUGUUAAAAAAUAACAGAUAAUUCUUUUUUAAAUUUAUAUUACCACAUGAAUAUGUUCACAAGACAAGAAUAGUUGAAGCAAAUAGGCUCCACGCGGUAAUAGCUACUGACAUGGAUAGUGACAGGAAAUGUCAAGUGGCAGCCUUUUAUCAUUUAACAUUUGAGUGGCUAAAACAAUAAUAGUUAUAAAUAUUGAUGACUAAAAUGUUAUUUUUCAAAAUCCAGUGAUCAAAAUAAAAAAUUCCUAAAUGUUAGGCAAUAAAAAAGAUAAGUUAUUUUUUUAUUGCAAAAAAAGGAGAAAAUUCGAAGCCAAUUUUACUUAAAUAGAAUAUAUAUAUGUAUGUGCGUGCGCGCACGUGCAUAUAUAUAUAUAUAUAUAUAUAUAUAUAUGAUGAUUUUGCUAGAUUAUGAGUCUAAUUUCCCCAUAAUUUGCACAUACUCGACGGAAGACAUAUAUAUUGCAUGUAUUUUUACAAUAUUGAGAAACUGACCAAGUAGGGAGGAUCGAGAAAUUAGGCUCAUAAUCCAACAAAAGCCCCAAAGACCUUGAAAGCCAACCAAAACUUGAUUGACAUAUUCGGUUCUCUAAUGUUUGUCAUAGGACUAGGGUUGUGCAAAACAAAACGGGACAAAAUGAGAUUGAUAGGCCAUUGGCAAGCACCCCAUAUAUUUCUAUUUCAAGGCAAUUCUAUUAGGGUUCAAGGGUGAUGAGAGAGAAAUAAGGCAGGCAUGUAUAUGUAUAAGCUAAUGACUUUGCUGGAUUAUGAGUCUAGUUCCCCCUUCAUUUGCUCCCACUCAAUCGAAUACAUAUUGCAUGUACUUUUCACAAUUAUAUUGUGAAACCAACCAAGCAGGGAAGAAAGGGAAACUAGACUCAUAAUCCAACAAAAGCACUAGAGAUGUUGAAAACCAACCAAAACCUGAUUGACAUAAUGGAUUCUCUAUAUUUGUCAUAUAGGGCUAGGGUUGGGCAAAACAAAAGUGAAAAAAAUUGAGACUGAUAGGCUUUAGGCAAGCACCCCAUAUUUCUAUUUCAAGGGAAUUCUAUAAGGGUUUAGGGGUGAUGGGAGAGCCUUGAGGCAAACAUGUAUAUUUAUAAGCUGCCAAGUCUAAUCAAAGUCCACUUAUGUCCCUAGUUUGUAUUUAUAUUGUUAAUUUUAGAAAGGAAAAAUACUUGGUAGGUUAAACUAGUUGUCGUACUUACUUAACAUGCAAGUACCCAUUUCUUUCCUUCCUCUCCCUUUCUAAGCUACCAAAUAAAUUAAUUAUGGGAAUUUCCUUACCCCUUCACUUUUUCUUUCUCUUUUCCUCUCCUUCCCUUUCCUUGUAGUUUCCGUAUAUAAGGUUAGAUUCAGGGNGUAUAUAUAUGAUUUAAAACAAGUUAGCCCCUUGCUAAAAUUCAUCAAUUCUGAAAAUCAUGUCAUGUAUAUACAAUUUAACAAUGUUGUCAAAACUUUUCAAAUACAAAAUUUUAUUCCAAAGUAGCGUGCACCUUUUAGAAAUAGAAUGAUAUUGAAAUGCUCUUUAAAUCAUACCAUAACAAUUAUAAACAUUAACGUUGCCGAACAUUUAAAACAAUAAUGUGCACCUGUCAAGCUCAAUAUUUCAUGCCAUUUAUGCACAAUAAGCAAGUACAUUUCAUAUACCAUUUACACAUUUCUAAACAAAGUAAAAAUAUCAUAAAAUGGUCACUCUAUGGCACUAGAAAUAAGAAUUCAAUUUUUGAAAUAAAUAUUAAAGAUCAAGUCAGAUUAAAGGGCUUGUUUCCUAGCUUUGUAAAUUACAAUAUAUAGUAAUAUAUAUAUAUAUAUAUAUAUAGUGGAAAAAAUAAAACUCACUUUCUCCUUCUCCCUCGUAGUCCUAAAUUUGUUUGUAUGAAAGAUUGAGAGGGUGCUUAGCACUUGUAGUGAUAUUAUAUUUUAGAAUUUUUAAUGCCUUUCGUAAGCUACAAGCCAAGCAACCAGCUGUGAAUAGAUGGAAAGACGACCAAGUCAUUUUGGUGUUAUAAAUACUUUUGUUCUUUUAAGUCAAUUGUUAUAUAUUGUGGAGACAAGUGUGAGUCUUGGAAUUAAAUUGAGGAUAAUUAAUAAAGUGACUUAGAACCUCCAUAAGCAUUUGUAAUUUUAAUUUCAAAAGUCAUGUUUUUAUGUUAUAUCCUAAUCUUGUUCGGUCAAGGAUCGGAAAAUUAAGGAAUGGAAAAAAACUUAAUUGGUCUUUUUGUUACUGUUUAUUUUACGGCUUAAAAUUAAAAUAAGGAAAAUGAUAGCCUUUGCAAUAAAAAAAUUAAUGAGAAACCCCUCCAUAUUCUACCAAUUUCAAGGAAUUUUUUUUUAAAAAAAAUAUUGAAGGUUUGAAAGAAAUAUGUCUAUGUCCCACGAAACCUCUCUUUCCAUUAAAUUAAAAUGUUUUGGUAACAAGGGGGAGAGUAAAUCUGCCAUUCCUUCCCCUUUGGUUCAUUCCCCCCCACCAACCCCCCCUCUCUUUUUUUUUUUCCGCUCAGCCAAUAAUGUAGAUUUCAUUAAUAUUCUGCUUGUAGCAGUAAGGAGUCAAUCAAGUAGCUGCUUCAAAAGAUUACAGUCAUCUAAAGAUGGUGAUAAAUUUAGUUUAGUGAUGAUGAGUUAACAUUGAGUCAUAAAUUAAUGAUAAAUUUAGUAUUUAUCCUUAUAUUUUUUGAGGAGUUAAUUACUUUUUUGGUCACUUAAUCCUUUGAAAAUUUUUUAUUUUGGUCAUCCAAUUUUUGAAAAAUAAUAUUUUGGUUACCAAUAUUUAUAAGAGUUAAUAAUUAUUUUUUUAAUUUAUAUUACCACAUUGACAUGUUCACAUGACAAGAAUAGUUAAAGCAGAUAGGGUCCACACGGCAAGAGCAACUGAUGUGGAUAGUGACAUGAAAUGUCGAAGUGAAAGCCUACUAUCAUUUAACAUUUGAGUGGUCAAAAUAAUAAUACUUAUAAAUAUUGAUGAUUAAAAUGUUAUUUUUGAAAAUCGAGUGAUCAAAAUAAAAAAUUUCGAAAUGUUGGAUAAUAAUAAAAUUAAGUUAUGUCUUUAUUGAAAGAAAAAGAGAAGAUUCAAUCCAACUUUACGUAAAUAAUAAGACAAGGUUCCGUUUGAUUGAUUUUUUUUUUAAUUAAAUGGACUAAAGUUUCAAUAAUAAUAAAUAUGGAACAUUUGCUUUUUCAUUGUAAUUUCUGUAAUUUUAAGGAAAUAGGAAUAAAGAUUGUACUUAUAUGAAUUAAUGAAAGUGAUGGGAAUUAAUAAAGCAAAUUAAAGUAAUGAAAGAUGGUACUUACAUUUUAGAAUAUUUAAUGCCUUUCGUAAGCUACAAACCAAGGAACCAGCUGCCUGGGAAUAGAUGGAAAGACGACCGAGUCAUUUUGGUCGGUUAAGCAUUUUAAUUUUUAAUUUCAAAAGUCGUGUUGUCGGUAACAAGGGAGAGAGUAAAUCUGCCCCUCCUUCCCUUCCUUCCCCUUUCGUCCAUUCACCUAAAUCUAAACACAGUCUGAAAUCUCCUAUUAUAGCAUAGGAGCAUAAUCCAAAAAUGUUGCAAUGAUUUUUUUUUUAAAUAAAAAAAAAAGUGUGGACCGGAUUGACUUGUCCCAACUCCUCAUACUACAUUUAAAAUCUUGACCAAGACUUUAUUUUACUUUCUCCAAGUAUUAGUUUCAUUAUCUAAUUGUGGUGUGAACCGCAUGGAUCAUUUGCAAAAAUUCUAAGACUUUAAUUUAAUUGUCUAAUUGUAGUGUUGACCGGUUUCAUAUAUUUUAAGAAAUUGCAGAUUAGAAGUUUGUCAUUAAAAUACAAGUGUAGACAAGAUUCUUCUAGAGAGAAGAACAUUGAUGAAAUAAUGAGAGAAGAGCAUUAGUGAAGUAACGGGAGAAGAACUUUAAUGCAGUAAUAAUGGGUCAUUAACGGUACAGCAGGAAGCGUGUCACUUGUUCUUGAGAGGAGAUACUUCAACUAUCUCUAUAUCUUAGUUACCAUGUUAAAUUUUGUAUAAUAUCUCAGGGGAAAACUAAAAGGUGAACCUAAUCACGUCUUUUAAGUUAUUUUCAUUGUGAUUCGCUUCAUGUAGCUAUUUCACCCAUUCUGAUUGUUCUCAUUUUUCUUUAUGUAUCAUUAUGCUUACUGUAAAACAAUUUUUUUAAAAAUAAUAAAUUAGUAACUAAAAUUAAAUAUCUACAUUUUACCCCUUACAUGAGAAUUCUCAAUUUAAAAAGUUCUUAUGCGUUGUUAGGACUAUAAAAGUAAAAAUAUAGUGACUUGUAAGAAUAAAAAUAAUGCAAGACUUUAGUAAAAGUUAUAUUUCUUCUUGUCUCCAUGCAGCAGUAUUUUUUCAUAUGAUAAUGUUUCUAAAUUUCAUAAUCAUAAUGCUUUUGUGAUUGUUACGUUUGCAUUAAUAAUUAUAUUAUAAUGUUUUGUUCCCUCUUAUUUAGGAAUAUAUUAUCUUUUAAAUAUCUAUUUAAUUUUCAAAUUUGAUUCUAGAUUAAUUUAAAAUUAGCAUAAUACAAGAAAAAAAACCCUUGAACUAUAUAAAAAAUUUAAAUAAGUCCUUAUUUUUCUAUUGUGUUCCAUUAAGUAUUUGUACUUUCUUUUGGGUCAACUAAACCUUUAUAACUAAUGGUUGACUAUAGCUAUUAUUAGUCAAAAUGUCACUUCUCAUUUCAUGUCAUGUUCAUAUAAAGGGUGAAAAUGUUGUAUUGUCAUGUUAUUAUGUCACGUCAACAUAUCAUGUCAUCAUGAACGAACCUACCCUAGGGUGAGUGGUGUCACAUAACACCACUCAUUUACCAAAAAUUUUUACUUAAUAUACUACUUAUCGAGAGUUUUAUGUAGUUAAUAAUGCUAAUGAACAAACUGAUUUUUUUUGCAAUUUUUGUAGGGAGUGGGGACAAAGACUUCAAGUCAAAGUAAAUUUAUCGAACAGUAAUUUAUAUAUUAAUAUUUAAAUACUACAUGGAAAGGAAAAAAAAUUCCUUGUAUAAUUCAAGAUUUUAUUAAAAAAGUCAAAACUUAAACUAUUUUCUCUUUCCAAAAAUUCAAGUCCUAUUCUUGAGAGUCGUAGUGGCAUAAUGAUUCUAAAUAUGGAUACCACAUUUGUGCUUCAAUGAAGGUCAGGAUGCAAAGUUCUAGAAGUAUCAAAUUUUCAUCAUUAUCAUUUUGAUAUAAUGAAUGAAGUAUUAGAUUUGCAACUUGAGGACCUAAAUAAUCAUUUCAUUGAAUUGAACAUAGAUUUACUUUAGUAUAUUGCGUGCUUACAUCCUAGCAAUUCAUUUUCUACCUUUAACAAAGAAAGAUUGAUUCGUAUAGCUCAAUUAUAUCCUUUUGACUUUUCAGUAGUGGAUUUAGUGGCACUUGAAAAUCAACUUGAAAAGUAUAAAUUGUAGACUUGCGUUUGGAUGAGGAAUUUGUUGAAGUCAAUGGAAUUGGUGAUCUUGCAAGGAAGAUGGUUGAGAGAAAUAGAAAAGUUGUGUAUCCUUUGGUUUAUUUGCUAGUAAAACUUGCAUUGAUCUUACUAGUUGCAACAACGUCAGUUGAAAGAGCUUUUUUAGCAAGGAAAUUUAUAAAGCAUAGGCUACGCAUUCGAAUGAGUGACCAAUGGAUGAAUAAUUGCUUGGUUACAUAUAUUAAAAAAGAUAUAUUUGAUAGUAUUUCUACUGAUACUAUCAUGCACUAUUUUCAAAAUAUAAAAAAUUACCAUGGACAAUUAUAAUUAUCUUGACUAUUUUUACUUUGAAGUAUUAAAUGAAUAUACUGAAUUUACAUUUUUUCUAAUUGAAUGUUAAAACUUCUAGUUUAUGGAUUUUAACAUAUUUAUAUUUUUUAAAUUAUUAUUAUUUUAGUUAUGAAAUCAUUUAGAAAAAUUUUUGAGUCCGUAUUUGCACGUCAUCAUUUAUUAUAACAUGUCAACAUAUUACGUCCGUGUCAUGUGGUAUAUAACUACAAAUAGCAUUUUGAUUAACAAUAGUUAGUUAACCCUUAGAGAGCAUUUGGUAUUGUGUAAGUGAGGGACAUUUCUUACAAUUUAAUUGGGUGUAAUCAUAUAACAAUAUUUGGUUUAUCUAAAGUAAAUGGUAAAGUGUUGCCAUUGUAAUGUGAUUACAAUGAGAAAAGGGAAUGUUAUUCCUUUCCCUCCAAGGAAAGUAACUUUUCCUUUGUAAAGGCAAAGUUACAUAUAUGUUUUUUUGGAUAUAAACGAGGUUUGUCUUUGUCGUAACAUGCCCGGUCCAGGAACUCGACCGCAAGACGUCAGCGAAAAUAAAUUACCUAGGAGCUGCCACCAAUCUUUUUUAUCUAGGUGUGAUUGGUCACCUAUUAACUCGAUUCUAAUCGACGAAAUUCUAAAUAAAUUUUAGAUCCGUCAAAAGAACAAGCGUUGAUCUAUGAUUUUUAGAGAUAGGUUCAGGAGUGCGGUUACGCACAGAGAAGGAUUAGCACCUCUGUGGCGCUCGUUCCAUGAACGGUACCAUUUAAUCUUAAGUUAUCCUAUUGUAGCCUACCUUGAUUUUAUUCCUAUGUUUACUUAAUUCUUGCUUAUUAAUUAAUUCUUUAUUAUGUUAGCUAAUUGAAUCUUUUAUUCGAUUUCACGGAUGCACAUGAUGCAAUCGUAAGAUGAUGUUAUGAUUUGUCCAAUUUUAAAUGAUGAGGUUGGCAAUCUUUUAUUGAAAAAUCAUUCGUAAACUAUCCCAACGCUUUGGUGAAGUCUCGAAGUUUUCCUUAACUAAGGAUAUCUUGGAAAGGACUUGUCUCUAUGAGAUCUUCAAGGAAAUCUCAUAAUCGGAACUCCUGCCCAUUAACAAGAUAAUCUUGGCAUGCUAUGACAGGAUAAAAUGAUGAUAUCUACAUGAACUCGUUUAUUAACUUAAUUGGUUCGUUAUUCAUGCAAUUAUAUGUUCAAUAAUUUAAGGUGAUUUAUUACUUUAUUCAUAUAUUUAUUAUUAUUUAUGAUUAUUUUUUUUAAUGUAUAUUAUUUUUAACAAUGAUUAUUUGAGUUAAUAGGCAUCGGAGUAUAGAGUUCGGAUUUAUCCCGACGUUUUGGUGAAAAUUCAUCUCAAAUUUUGCUCCUAAGAAAUCCACCCGAAAGAGGCAACUCUUUGCCCUUUUUAAGUGAAAUUCUAUCAUCGGAUUACUCAAAAUAAUCAUUUCAUUAUUAUUUUAUAACAAUUAUAUUUACAUCAUGUAUUUUUUUUAUUNNNNNNNNNNNNNNNNNNNNNNNNNNNNNNNNNNNNNNNNNNNNNNNNNNNNNNNNNNNNNNNNNNNNNNNNNNNNNNNNAUAUUUUCUUCUUUCCUUUUAAACAACGAUUAUUUGAGUUAAUGGAUAUUGGAGUAUAGAGUUUGGACUUAUCCCGACACUUCGGUGAAAAUUCGUUUCAAACUCCACACCUAAGAAAUCCACCCGAAAGAGGCAACUCUUUGCCCAUUUUUAGGUGAAAUUCUAUCAUCAGAUCACUCAGAAUAAUCAUUUCAUUUUUUUAUAAUUUUUAUAUGAUUCAAUAUAUUUAUAUAUAUAUAUAUUAUAUUUACAAGUAUCUAAAUAUAUUUAUAAUAUAAAUAUUUCUUUCUUUCCUUUUUUUUUAUCUUAUUCUUCUCAUUCACUUAUCAUUUUUAUUAUUUUUUGAUUGAUUUUUUCUUGUUUAUUUUGAUUUUCUAACACUAAAUGGACGCAUGUAUAAAAAGAUCUUACUAUUAUAACCAUUACCAUUUCUUUUUAUUUUUUGAAUUCAAAUGUUAAUUUUUUUUUGUUUAAUAUUCCUUCCCUAACACUAAAUAGUUCUUCUAAACAUUUUAUUUCAUCUUCUUUAAACCAUUCACAUAUUUUAGCUAAAAUAUUUUCCAAUACACUAAACUAGCCACUUCACAAUAUACUUAAUCAAAACCAAAUCAAAAAAAUAAAUAACCCAAAAAGGGAAGAAAUGCCUUACCUUGUGUGGGUUCUGUUUUGGCCCAAGGUGUAGCAAAGCCUUUAGGUGGCCUAAUAGACGGACCUGGUGCUAAGAAAAUAUAGUGGGCUUGGUAAGAUUUGAUCCACAACCAGCAAAUUCCCACAAACCACAAGCUCCUUCUCCUGCAACGCACCGUUUGGUGCUAAUUCAACCACCCAAAGACAACACAAAACGACACUGUUUUUGGCCCUCAAGCCCUCGGUAUUUAAACCUUAUUUUCUUCUUCCUCUUUCAUUUUUGGCUCUCUUUUUCUCUCUCUAGCCGUCACUCUCUCCCUUCUCUCUAAGAUUUUUCUUUUUU